rnacentral:tRNA from 1 species
CCCUCGAUAGCUCAGUUGGCAGAGCGGAGGAUUGUAGAUGUUACAACGGUGACCCUUAGGUCGCUGGUUCAAAUCCGGCUCGAGGGA